GAGCACGUAGGUGGGUUUGUAAGUCAGAUGUGAAAGCCUUCUGUUCAACGGAAGAAUUGCAUCUGAAACUGCGAACCUUGAGUGCAGGAGGGGAGAGUGGAACUUCUGGUGGAGCGGUGAAAUGCGUAGAUAUCAGAAGGAACACCGGUGGCGAAAGCGAUUCUCUGGCCUAUUACUGACACUCAGUGUGCGAAAGCUAGGGGAGCAAACGGGAUUAGAUACCCCGGUAGUCCUAGCCGUAAACGAUGGGCACUAAGUAGAGGGGUUUUAA
rnacentral:rRNA from 1 species